rnacentral:rRNA from 1 species
UACGGAGGGGGCUAGCGUUGUUCGGAAUUACUGGGCGUAAAGCGCGCGUAGGCGGCUUUGUAAGUUAGAGGUGAAAGCCCGGAGCUCAACUCCGGAACUGCCUUUAAGACUGCAUCGCUAGAAUCGUGGAGAGGUGAGUGGAAUUCCGAGUGUAGAGGUGAAAUUCGUAGAUAUUAGGAAGAACACCAGUGGCGAAGGCGACUCACUGGACACGUAUUGACGCUGAGGUGCGAAAGCGUGGGGAGCAAACAGG